rnacentral:lncRNA from 1 species
ACGGGAAAGGGAGCAGGCGGCCGCGGCGCGACCCCAGCCGGUGCCGGGACAGCCCCGCAGCCUGGGCCGCCGCUCCCCCUCCCCGGAGCCCGGAAUGGAUCCGUCCCGGAAAUAAAUAAAUAAACCCGCGGCUGCUCCGGGUGUGUGCUGCGCGCACCUGAGGCCGACCUGUGAUUCACCGCGGGAGGGAUGGCAGUGACAACGCUCCGGGGAAGUCCACAGUGACUCCUCCGCCAGGACGCCGCUGGUUGUAUAGGAAAAGCACGCGGACGGGAAGCCACACUCACCGAAAACCUCAGUAAACUAAAUUUAUGAGUUUACAUCUGUUCCAUCAAUGACCACGGUGCACACCUGUUUGGCUUCAUGGCCGGCAACUACAGAUCUAGGUAAUGGUGAGCCCCGAUGUGGAAAGACACUACCUGGCAUUUAUGUGGCAAAUGCUACAAGUAUUGCCCCUUCAAGUACGUUAGACCUUGAAAGGGCAGAAUGAAGGGGGCUGAAUGUUCUUGUUAUUCAUUUUGAAGAAAGGCAUGGUAUUUAAAUAUCUCCCCCUAUCCAUGAAUGUUUGUAUAAAGUACAUAAAGAAAAAAUAUAAUUUAAAUUAGCUGCCUUAAGUCUGGUGUAAUAUGGCAAGAAAUACUAAAUCAAAAAAGUAUAUAUUCAGCAAAAAAUACAUCUAAAAAUGGCUUAGUCCAUGCAGUAAAUACCAGGAACAAACUCGCUUACAAAAAUGGGAGGAUAAAGAGAAGGAAGAGGGGGUGUAAGCUGACAAGGUAGGCGGGGUAAACAAAAAGAAGCCUGCUGUGGGAUCUUCUUUAUCUAAUUCUUGUGGCCCACAUUAAUAUUUUCACACCAAGGACUCCAAGAGUUUUGGAUGAUGUUUCAUGUCCAAGGCUUUCGUAUGCGUUAUCUCCUCACAUUCUUACAGAGCCUCCACAGAUCCUUGCAACCCACAGAGGUAGACAAAGAAGGCAUUAUUUUCUCAAUUUUACAUUUGGGACUUUAUCCCAAACAUUCAGGGACACUAAAUGACAAAACACACUUCAAUAGAUAUUAAUGAGCUUGGUCCAGCAUUUUUGCCCCAUGCUCUUCUUUUAAAAAAUGUUUCUAAGUAUUGCAAAAGAUGUUUUGAAGGCUGACACAAAAGAGUGUCCCUGUGCUCCGGAGCAGUUUCUAGACCUCAGCACUGUUGACAUAGGCUGGAUAAUUCUUUGUCUGAGGAGCUUUCUUGAGCAUUGGAGGAUGUUUAGCAACAUUGCUGACCUCGACCUACUAGAUGCCAGUGCUGACAAUUAAAAAUGUCUGAGGACAUUGCCAAAUGUCCCUUGGGAGGUAAAAUCACCCCUGGUUGGGAACCACUGCUCCAGAUAAAGGCUUCUCUGAGAGGGGUGAUACAGAGCACUGGUUUAGAGCAAAAAUUUUGGGUCUGAAUUCUGGAUACAACACUUACUAUGACCUUAAAUCUCUUCUCAUUUUCCCCAGCUGCAAUAUGGGGUCCAUAAUAGGACCAACCUGUAAGAGGCUGAUAUACAUAAAUGAAGAGGAGAUGGCAUACAUAAGCCCUUUCACGCAAUGUCUACACACACACUGCGCAUAAAUGUAGGCAGUAUACAGAAGCUAAGAGAAUACUAUGCUGACAGACAUAAGACUGGAGCAGAGGACACCCCACAAUGUGCUUCUUUCUACUCUCUAGAGUCUUCAACCAGGCUGCUGAUCACACUGUGUAUAAUUGACUGUUUACUGCUGUCUUUCCAAUUAGUCUGAGUUCCUCAAGGCUAAAGUCACAUUUUACUGAUCUUCAUAUUUUCAGAACCUGACAGCUCCUCAGUUUAUAUAGGCAUUUAAUAUUAGUAAAUCCUUUUUGAAUGGAUACUUCAGAAGCCCAAGUAUCUCUUAUUUCUCUUAAGAUGCACUGAAACUAUUAGUACUAGUAGAUCUGUAUUCUCAAAGAAUACUGAAUUUUUGAGAAUCCCAUGAAGACGGUAAAUUCUGAAGACUUUCUCUUAGUGACUUAUUUGUAUCUAUAUCAUGUAGCUGGAAAGAUAUCAGUGCUAACAUUCCUCAGGUCUUUACAUGGCUCUAAGAAAUGUCACAAUCAAACUCAAGGGGAAUUCCCUUUGAGUCCCAUGUCCCCUCCUCAAAGGCAAGCCCAGAGAAUAACUUUUUGUGCUCACUUGUAGGUAUCCAAGAUCAAGAGGGACAAUUACAUAUUAUAAGCCGCACAGAGAAGAGUAAUCAAGGUGGACAUGAACUUGUGCUAUAUAAGUUAUGGGUUGAAGAACUCUGUGGAAAGUAGAGAAGAAAAAAUUUAGGGAACAAGCAGUAGUUGAAUACAGCUAUGUGAAACUAUGAGAACUAUGUGAAAGAGUGUUUGGAUCCAAAGAUGAAAGAGCUGACACAAGAGUGGAUUUUCUGAGAGCUGUUUGAGCAGAGAAAACUUGAAGGAGAUACAGUGAGUAGAACACAACCUGUAGGUGGUUUGAAGACCUGAGGACUCCAAUACCUCCCAACUCUCAUAUUCUCUAUAGUUUUUCUAGAAAAGCCCAUGUAUUGGGGCAUAACCUAUAAAGAUGAUAGCAACUAAAAUGGAUAAAUCAAUGACAUAAAAUGUUUAUUUCUUCUCUUGAUUAAAUGACAGAUACCCCAAUCUGCAGGCAUCAUAUGUUAUGACUGCCUCCACUCUCUGCAUUUUGAGAAAGCCUCUACAGAAAUUCUCAAAGGAAUGGGUAAAGACAUGAGUAUUUUUAACUACAUAUACUUUAAAUUUAUUUUUUUUUUUUGCAUUUAAAAGGCUUGAGAGGAUUUGGGUUGUAUCCAAACUGAAAAAAUAAAAAUAGGUUAAGUACAUGAGGAACCAGAAUGAAUUAAUAUAGUGAGCGAAAGUGGAUUGUACAUUCCCACACUCAUGAAGAUAAGAGUACAGAUGACACUGAAGUGUGAGUUGUCUUCUAACCUGUUUGACUUGAUUUGGUUACAUAUGAUUCAGAAGGCAGAGCAGUCGGUAAACACAAGAAUUAAAAUUGUCAAAACUACUGACAUUUUCCUACAAAAUAAUUAUAUGGGCAGAAACUAUAGUUGCGACUGCAGUAAAACUCAACUGCAGAACAAAGAGGGAACUGAGAUUACUGGAAAUUCUUAAGACUAUAGCUGGUCUAGGUCAAUAUAGAGAUAUUCAGCAGGAUUUUCUAUUGUGUAACAACUAAGCCUAUACAACAAUGGACAAGCUUUGUGGUUCAGAACUUUCAUUCAUUUAAUCAGGAUGACAUUGUUAGCCAUUGGUUUUGUAAGGUAAAUGAAACUAAAAAACAAGCUUGUCAUCCUACUGAAAUGCAAGCUUAGGAAGAAAUAAGUAUUUAAGAAAGGGUCAAAUCCUUCACUAUUACCUCCCCUUCUACAUACAAAAAAUGCCAGGUCCUUUUUACUGACUUGAAUUCUGUCUACUGCCCACCUGUUGACACAAGCCACCCCCCCCCUUUUUUUUUAGACAGAGUUUCACUCUUGUCGCCCAGGCUGGAGUGCAGUGGCGCGAUCUUGGCUUACUGCAACCUCUGCCUCUCAGGUUCAAGCGAUUCUCCUGCCUCAGCCUCCCAAGUAGCUGGGAUUACAGGCAGUCGCCACCACACCCAACUAAUUUUUUUGUAUUUUUAGUAGGGACGGGGUUUCACCAUGUUAGGCAGGCUGGUCUCGAACUCCUGACUGCAGGUAAUCCACCCGCCUCAGCCUCCCAAAGUGCUUACAGGCGUGAGCCACCACAGCCGGCAACACAUGCCCUUUAAGAAGGGGUUUUCUCCAGUCCACGUAGAACAAUGUUAAAAGAUAAUAUGCCUGGAGUCUUGUCUUGAACUUAGAUUCUAUGAAAAGACUUAGUUUUCUAGUGUGGAUGUGAAGUCUGCAAAGCUGUCAGCUCCCUGUGCAGGACACUCGGGCCAUGAGGCCAUGCCCAAUAAGACACUAAGUUGAGAUUUCCUAAGCACUCUACCUGAUCCUGGCCUAUUCUAAGGAUUUUGCCCUAAACUAACUUUGACAUCUUCCCAUCCCCAUUUUCAGGGCACCUAGAAGUGACUAGUUCCCUAGGGCUGUCCACACCUUCAAGUCCACUUUGGUCACCUUCUAAAUGUGGUCUUGAGAGUUUGAGGCUAGAACUGUGAACAGCAAACUGGCUGUCCUGAAUGAGCAAUCCUUGUAAUCAUUUUGUACAUCCCAAGAAAUAAAGUUUAAUACUGGGACAGAAAUGGGAAGAAAGUUACAUCAAUGAGGAACAGGUUGAAGAAAGCGUUUCUAAUAUUAUUAAACAAAUUUGCACUCACAAUGCUAAAA